rnacentral:lncRNA from 1 species
AAACGAGAGGUUAGUCUGAUCCGGCUGAGCGUUAGUGUCAUGGAGGUAAACGAGAGGUUAAGUCUGAUCCGGCUGAGCGUUAGUGUCAUGGAGGUAAACGAGAGGUUAAGUCUGCGCUCAUCCACCUCUGGCCUGCUGGCCCCCCUACCUCUGAGGAAGCACAGUUCCCGCUCAGCCCAGUCAAAACUGUUCGCUGCUCUGGCACCCCAAUGGUGGAACAAGCUCCCUCACGACGCCAGGACAGCGGAGUCAAUCACCACCUUCCGGAGACACCUGAAACCCCACCUCUUCAAGGAAUACCUGGGAUAGGAUAAAGUAAUCCUUCUAACCCCCCCCCCCCUUAAAAGAUUUAGAUGCACUAUUGUAAGUGGUUGUUCCACUGGAUAUUAUAAGGUGAAUGCACCAAUUUGUAAGUCGCUCUGGAUAAGAGCGUCUGCUAAAUGACUUAAAUGUAAUGUAAAUGAUCCGGC